GACGAACGCUGGCGGCGUGCCUAAUACAUGCAAGUCGAGCGGGGAUUAUGCUUGAUCGCUUCGGUGAGACGGCAUAUAUCCUAGCGGCGGACGGGUGAGUAACGCGUGGGUAAUCUACCUCGUAGUUCGGGAUAACAGGCCGAAAGGCUUGCUAAUACCGGAUGAGUUCAUGCUUAUGCAUAUAGGCAUGAAGAAAGGGCUAGCCCGCUAUGAGAUGAGCCCGCGUCCCAUUAGCUUGUUGGUGGGGUAAUGGCCUACCAAGGCAACGAUGGGUAGCCGGCCUGAGAGGGUGUACGGCCACACUGGGACUGAGACACGGCCCAGACUCCUACGGGGGGCAGCAGUAGGGAAUUUUCGGCAAUGGGCGAAAGCCUGACCGAGCGACGCCGCGUGAGGGACGAAGGCCUUCGGGUUGUAAACCUCUGUCUGGGGGAUGAGAACGGACGGUACCCCGGAGGAAGCCCCGGCUAACUACGUGCCAGCAGCCGCGGUAAAUAGCGUACU
rnacentral:rRNA from 1 species